UCUUUGUUACUCUGACAUUCUUUGACCACAUAACACCAGGCCAAAAGAUGUAAAAAACUGUAAGAUUGUUUAAUUCCUCCUUCUUUGUUACUCUGAUUUUAUCUUCUGCUAGUUCUAUGCACGCUUAGAAAUGGGACGUGGGCAUCAUCUCUCCUAAAAACAUUUACCCAUUUGUGAACUUUUCUUGUUAAAACUACAGUAUAUACAAUGGAUAAGAAGGUCAUACAAACAUCACAUAUCAAAAACAUCAGUUUGUUCUGAAGAUAAAAGAGAUAAACAUUGUUAUCAUUAAACAUAACGAUUCUCAAAAUCUGUUUUGAUUCAUUCCAGAACAUGGAAUCUUUGAUGCUUAAAAAAGCCCCUUGAAAUGAAUGUAAGUCAGCCAAUUACAGACUCAUGGCACUGAGUUGCGCAGGCUACAAAAUACACGUUUCUCAUUGAAUAUUUGUUCAAAGUCACAGGCUGAAGCUCAUGCUAGAGAAGACCAUGAAGUACAAGCCAGCAUACAUUAAAGUUCCAUUCCUUAAGAAAGCCUAAUGAUCAAAUUGCUAGUGUGUAUGGGAAACUGUUAAUCACAGCCUGAGCCUCUGAUUAAACCACCUGAGGCAAGGGUCAGCUGCAGGAGCACAGGUGAAGGUAAUUCAGCUGUGCUCCUGGGAGGGGUGGAGUUUGACUGUGCCUCUCCUAGAUCCCAUUUAAGGGCUGACCACCACUAAGGCAACAUCUCUUUCUGGAGGCUGCUUCAUUGUGGAGUUUUGGUGGCAAGUCUCAGCAUUUUCCAUCUUGACUGCAGGCCUCUGAAUUGAAAAUGUUUCUGAUCUCCUGCAAAAAACAACUCUUGAAAAUUCUGAAGGGAACCAAAGCUCUAGACAACUUCUAUUUGCCUGUAACAUGUCUGCAGUGAGCAAUUGUAUCAAGAAGGUCAAAACUUCAGGAUUGUUCUAAACAUCAAACAAAAUCAGUUCAGAGCUGUGAUGGUCUAUCAGAUAUACAGGCAGCUACAAAUGAAGCUGUACAGACAAUUUUCUGUCUCGUAGUAUCAUCCAAGGGAGACAGACCUCAAAGUGUUCCCACAGGUCAACUAAGAACUCUGGCAUGUCCAGAAGGCAUUUGAGGUAUCUGAAGUUAUUAAGCAGCAGCCAAAUGCAAUCAAAGUCACAGCUUACAAGAAUGGCAAAAGGAAGAUCUUUGCUAAAGUUUCGCUGUCCUAAUCCAGUUGCAUGUACUGCUGGAGGACUGCACUGAAAAGCUUGUUCUGAACAUGGCUGCACAAUGAGAGUUCUUGGCAGACAGCACUGAGGCACUAGAACCUAAAGACAUACCCCAUGAUGCUGACGUUUACAUUUCAACUGAAGAGGCCUUUUUAGACCCAUUUUUAAAAAAGGAGGAAAAAAUAAAGAAAUAAAAGAAAAUGAACAACCCAAACAAAAACAAAAUGAAGAAUCCCCAGCAAAUGGCUUAAGGGUUGCAAUUAAAAAUUAUUUUCAUUCUGUCUUUUUGCAUGGUUUAACAAAACUAAUGUUUACUCAUUUACAGCUCAGUAAGAGGAUAAUGUGCUUAAUGAAAGAAAAAUCUACUGACAGCCACGUUUAUUGCCCUUCAUUAGCAUUGGUACUUAAUUUAAUAUAGAUCUGAAUAGACAUUAGGGAGCCUGCAGGAGGUUAAAUGGUGAAAAUGUAAAGAGAUUAUUGAAUUUACUGUUUAGUUUCAGUGACAUCAAACAGACAAAAUUAAUUAAGCUUAUUCCACUAGUAAAAAUAAUCCAGAAUGUAAGAUUAGAUUCAUUAAUGUUGUUUAUAAUUUUUUGAACAUUUAUUCCAGCAGUAUGGAAUAUCUGCUCUAUCACACUGUAUUAAUUUUAUACUUUUCAGUAAGGCCAUUAUUAACAAUAUUCUUUUCUCUUCAUUCCCCUAUAAGUCUGCUAAUUUUGUUGGUUUUUUUUGUUUGUUUUUAAUAAGGGAAAAACUGUUUCUGAAUCAUUUACAUUUUAAACAUGAAUAAAUCUUUGUCAUGUUUUAAUAUUGUGACAUCCAUUCUGAGAGUUCUGCAACAAAUUUGGGGCAAUGCUUAAUAGAAUUAAGUAGAGUUUGGAAUCAGAUUGAAGAUAUCAACUGGGCAUUAUAUUAAAUGAUUAAUUCAGCUCGCAUUUGUGUUAAAGAAUCAUUAAUUAAUAGAAGUUAAUGUAUUACUAGAAGCAAAAUGUUUAUUAGUGUAGAGUAUGUAUAGGUCUAGUUGCAGUGAGAAAUGCAAGAAAAAUUGUCUGAAGUUAAUGAAAGGGUUCAAUUUGUAUAAUCUUGUAAGAGUAAAGGCAGAGAGAUGUUUUUAAACAUGUUAGGGAUAGUAAAGGAGAAAAUCAAAAGAGGAAUAAUUCAACUAGUGAGUAUAUAUUUUAUAUACAUGUUCUUUAUACAUAAUCUUCACGUUCUGGGGCAUCUUUAUUUUCUCAUGUAUUUUCUUUAGACACAAGUAUUUUGUUUCAUUUUUCUAUAGCACCUUUAAUUAUCUUGUGUUAUCAUGGGUGUUAAAUCUUCCAUUCUGUAUUUGCAAAUACUGAGAUGAUAUUUCUAUAAGUUCUUUGCAGAUUGGUAUUAUUUAAUGCAGAUGACAUUUCAGGAAGAUAUCUAUGUAGUACCCAUAGCUGACUGUUUGCCUAAGAAAAUGACUGCUGUAUAGUUCUUUGUAUAUAAAUAAAAAUCUCAUAUUAAUUAGUAGCACCUUUAUGAUCUACGUGCUGUAAUUGAAGGGUAAUGUAAGUAUUCAGGGAUGAAACUUACGUUAGUAAGCCUGUGUCUUAAAUUGUCAAUUUUAUAUAGAGUAAAUUCUUUUGGUAACAUGAAAAUUAUUCUGGUACAGAGGAUUUGUUUUCUAGAGUGACUACAAUGAAUGGGCUAUAUAUUCAGACGUAGAUAUUUUUAUUUAUUCUUGAAAAAUGUAUGAUAGAGCUGAUAUUUGCACUCUGAGUAUCAUUAAAGUAAUAAUAUUUCAGUAAUA